rnacentral:rRNA from 1 species
UCGAGAAUCUUCCACAAUGGACGAAAGUCUGAUGGAGCGACGCCGCGUGAUUGAUGAAGUCCUUCGGGACGUAAAGAUCUUUUAUGGGGGAGGAAGUUAUUGACGUUACCCCAUGAAUAAGAGGCUCCUAACUCUGUGCCAGCAGGAGCGGUAAUACAGAGGCCUCAAGCGUUACCCGGAAUCACUGGGCGUAAAGGGUGUGUAGGCGGUCAUGUUAGUCUUUCGUAAAAGCUUUUGGGCUUAACCCAGAAAAUGCGGGGGAAACGGCAUGACUUAGAGGAUGUGAGAGGUAAGUGGAACUCAAGGUGUAGGGGUGAAAUCCGUUGAUAUCUUGGGGAACACCAAAUGCGAAGGCAACUUACUGGCACACUCCUGACGCUGAAACACGAAAGCGUGGGAAUCGAACGGGAUUAGAUACCCCCGUAGUCC